UACGUAGGGAGCGAGCGUUGUCCGGAUUUAUUGGGCGUAAAGCGCGCGUAGGCGGUUUGGUAAGCCGGGUGUGAAACCCUCGAGCUCAACUCGGGGCGGCCACUCGGAACUGCCAUACUUGAGUCUGGUAGGGGAACACGGAAUCCUGGUGUAGCGGUGAAAUGCUUAGAUAUCAGGUGGAACACCAGUGGCGAAGGCGGUGUUCUGGGCCAGUACUGACGC
rnacentral:rRNA from 1 species